UACGUAGGGGGCGAGCGUUAAUCGGAAUUACUGGGCGUAAAGCGCACGCAGGCGGCUGAGCAAGUCGAUUGUGAAAGCCCUGGGCUUAACCUGGGAAUUGCAGUCGAAACUACUCGGCUAGAGUAUGGGAGAGGGUAGUGGAAUUCCCGGUGUAGCGGUGAAAUGCGUAGAUAUCAGGAGGAACACCGGUGGCGAAGGCGGUUCUCUGGGCAUUACCUGACGCUGAGGAGCGAAAGUGUGGGGAGCGAACAGG
rnacentral:rRNA from 1 species